rnacentral:rRNA from 1 species
GCGGAGGAAAAGAAACUAACAAGGAYUCCCCUAGUAACGGCGAGUGAAGAGGGAAAAGCUCAAAUUUAAAAUCUGGCGGUCUUCGAUCGUCCGAGUUGUAGUUUAGAGAGGUGUUUUCCGCGUCGGACCACACACAAGUCCUUUGGAAUAAGGCUUCAUAGAGGGUGAGAAUCCCGUUCAUGGUGUGGACUACCGAGGCUAUGUGAUGCACCCUCAAAGAGUCGAGUUGUUUGGGAAUGCAGCUCAAAAUGGGUGGUAAAUUCCAUCUAAAGCUAAAUAUUGGGGAGAGACCGAUAGCGCACAAGUACCGUGAGGGAAAGAUGAAAAGCACUUUGGAAAGAGAGUUAAACAGUACGUGAAAUUGCUGAAAGGGAAACGCUUGAAGUCAGUCGCGUCCGCUUGGACUCAGCCGUGGUUCUCCACGGUGUACUUCCAUGCGGAUGGGCCAACAUCAAUUUUGUUCGCCGUACAAAGGCGUUGGGAAUGUGGCACUCUUCGGGGUGUGUUAUAGCCCUUCGUUGUAUGCGGUGGAUGGGAUUGAGGAACGCAGCGCGCCGUAAGGCUGGGAUUUAUCCACACACGCGCUUCGGAUGUKGGSGUAAUGGCUUUAA